GAGUUUGAUCAUGGCUCAGAUUGAACGCUGGCGGCAUGCCUUACACAUGCAAGUCGAACGGCAGCACGGGAGCUUGCUCCUGGUGGCGAGUGGCGAACGGGUGAGUAAUGCAUCGGAACGUAUCCUGGAGUGGGGGAUAACGUAGCGAAAGUUACGCUAAUACCGCAUAUUCUGUGAGCAGGAAAGCGGGGGACCUUCGGGCCUCGCGCUCUUGGAGCGGCCGAUGUCGGAUUAGCUAGUUGGUGAGGUAAAGGCUCACCAAGGCGACGAUCCGUAGCAGGUCUGAGAGGAUGAUCUGCCACACUGGAACUGAGACACGGUCCAGACUCCUACGGGAGGCAGCAGUGGGGAAUUUUGGGACAAUGGGGGCAACCCUGAUCCAGCCAUGCCGCGUGAGUGAAGAAGGCCU
rnacentral:rRNA from 1 species